rnacentral:rRNA from 1 species
GACGAACGCUGGCGGCGUGCUUAACACAUGCAAGUCGAACGGAAAGGCCCUGCUUUUGUGGGGUGCUCGAGUGGCGAACGGGUGAGUAACACGUGAGUAACCUGCCCUUGACUUUGGGAUAACUUCAGGAAACUGGGGCUAAUACCGGAUAGGAGCUCCUGCUGCAUGGUGGGGGUUGGAAAGUGUCGGCGGUUGGGGAUGGACUCGCGGCUUAUCAGCUUGUUGGUGGGGUAGUGGCUUACCAAGGCUUUGACGGGUAGCCGGCCUGAGAGGGUGACCGGCCACAUUGGGACUGAGAUACGGCCCAGACUCCUACGGGAGGCAGCAGUGGGGAAUAUUGCACAAUGGGCGGAAGCCUGAUGCAGCAACGCCGCGUGCGGGAUGACGGCCUUCGGGUUGUAAACCGCUUUCGCCUGUGACGAAGCGUGAGUGACGGUAAUGGGUAAAGAAGCACCGGCUAACUACGU